rnacentral:lncRNA from 1 species
UAGAAGUCUGUGGAAGGUGUGGGAUGGGAUGACAGCAUCAGAAAGAAUUGGGCAAAUCUGUCCCAGGACUAGGUCAGAAAAACGCCUCCCUAGGGAAGGUGCCACCCCAAACACGUGUUUCUGAGACCCCUUACCCGAAAUAAGGAGGCUGCCAAGCGAUACUUGAGGUUGGACCAGAUGAUGUUUUCUUGAGAGAAGCAGAAAACGCCAAGUCGGCCUCCACGCAUUGUGGUGUCUAUGGUGACGCCAGAGUCAGCCACCAACUCAGAGCCUUCAUAAAAUCGUACCCUGCGGACAACACGGCCGGAGGGGCCUCCAUGAAAUCCAACCCGGGGUUCCCCAUCCUGCGGUCACAAAAGUCCUGGCAUGUCCUUGGGGACUAUCCUAGGUCAGAAUUGCUCAGGGAAAUGAAGGCUCUGGGAUGCAGAACGGAGAAUGCUUUGCUUCUAGAGCAAGAUUAACUAAGUACCACAUGGGAAAACACAAUAUCUGAAAAAAGAUGAGAGGUCCAGAAGAAAGGGAGAUGAAUGACUUCAAACCACCAAUACCUUGAGCUGAAUGCCAGGUUCUGCAACUGCUCGGAAUGGGGUGGCUUGCCAAUAUGUCUGCUCCGUCUGCUUCCACAUGACCACGUAGAAGCUGGAGCUAUCUUGGUAGCCAAAGAUAAAGCCUGCAUAGUCAUCAUCUGUCUGGGUAUUCACAUGGAAGGUCCCUUCGAAGUCAACUCCAUUAAAAGCUGUGUACCCUGUAGGGACCAGAUAAGAUUAGAACAAUAGACAAACCACACUAGUAGCUGGAAGAAUUCUAUGUGAGUGGCAACUGAGGCCCUGGACAUACCCACUGCCAGGCCAGGAUCGGAAAAAUACUUGUAUUGAGCAUCAUGAAGUUCGUGUUACUAACCUCACAGGCAAUCGACAGCCUGGGAGAUAGUCCCUAGGGCUUCAGAUCUUGUGUGGUGUUCAUCCCACCAUCUUCAGGCCCACAGUGUGUCAUUUUUCCACCUCUGCUUUGUUAGGUGCUGGAGAGAUCAGGCGCAUGGUGAGUCACUUCUGCCUGGGCCAGUGUCACACAGAGACUACCCUUUUCUGCAGUUAUCCAGAGGUAGCUUCAAAGGACGGAUUCUGGGAGACUUAAAAAUGAACAGCUCUCAGAGUUUUGUGUUUGAUGAUGUCACAUUGGUAGCUUGAAAUCAGCAAUGAGGACAAUGCGGAGUUACAUCAUGGAAACUGGAAAAUGCUACCAACUAGGGCUUUCUGUGAUUUGCUUACCAGCAUAUACCACUGGAAAUGGGUCAUCAGUUAGGCUUGCAGAAGCCUCCCCUCCCCAGACCAGCUCCGUGGCUGGAGAAUGCACAGGAAGCGUGACCAUUCAUGGAGCUGUCCCUGAUUGGAGUGGAGGUAGACAUACAGCAUGGCGCCGUCUGGCCCUGCCAGUCACCUGCCAAAGACGGAAGGUUUCUCCCGGAGGGACUAUGACAGUCCCCACCUCUACACGAUGGCCCACCCCCAACAGGAGCGUCAAGGCAGACAGACUCUGGAAGUUGUAAGGAUGAGGACAGUUAGAGAUGACAGCAGGUACUCAUUGCUGGCAGGAAUCAGGCAUCAGAUCCAUGCCUUCUUCUUUGCUUACAUGUAAGAUCAUGUGAAUGUUGAUGAAAACACCAUCAGACUGGAGGCUGCGUCCGGCCACUCAGACAAAGAAGGAAUAGAAGUGAAGGAAGAAGGCUGGACUGUGAACCAAUGACACUGAGUUGCCCGCGCCACCGUGGAGGGCAUAGGGGACAGGUCAAAAGUUCCAGUGAAGUCCUGGGAGGUGGUGUGAGAAGUUUACUCUGGGGACAGGGAGAUGAUCUGCUUAAAAAGCAAGUUAAUUUUUCUUAUUGCUGUUCCUUUGGCUCUUUUACAAUGGAAUGACAAAGGAAUGGGUGCACAGAGAAAUGCUGGUGGCCUGCAUUGAGAAUUUCUGAUGAGGUAGGCUGAGAAACUGACAAAUGAGCUGUCAGCUCCGCUGCAAUGACACUUCAGGGGCCAGGUUUUUUUAGCUUUUAUAUAUAUAAUAUAUAUUAUCACACUGCACACUAUAUAUGUAAUAAAUAUUAUACAAUAUGUUUAAAAAAUGAAAAUUAAAAUUUUCAUCUUUAUUGAGGUAUAAUUGACAAAACUGAAUAUAUUUAAAGUGUGCAGUGUGAUGAUGUGAUAUACGUAUACAUUGUGAAAUGAUUACCACAGUCAGUUAAGUAACACAUCCAUCAACUGACAUAGUUACCUUCCUUUUUUUCUUUUUCAGUGAGAACACUUAAGAUCUGCUCUCUUAGCAGAUUUCAUAUAUAUAAUAUAGUAUUAUUAACUACAGUCACCAUGCUGUACAUUAGAUCUUUUUCAUCUUAUGCAGUUUUAUUGGCAUAACAUUUACAGGUCGUAAAAGACAUCCAUUUGAAGUAUAUAUAUUGUUUAAUGAUUUAAGUCACUCACAACCUCUUAGUUGCCAAAUCCAAUGCAUGCUUUCCAAUGACUUGUCUCGAUCUUUCAGCCUCCCUGGCUGUGCUAUCAGUUCGCUCCUUUUUCUGGCUUCUGCUCUUUUUCCUUGGCCUAGUCCUUCGUUUUUGGGGUUUCCUGGAGUUCUAUUUACUGUCUACUUUCCUUCUCUCUAGGUGGCUCAGUUAUUACCUUUACACCAAGAUCUCGCAAAUCUAUUUGCAGACUACUUUGUCCUGGUAAAAGCUGAGAAGCAAUAAAUCCCCAUCUAUUCCUAAGCAAUAUAGCAUUGCGGAGAAGAACUCAGGCUCUGUAGCCAACCUGGAAGAUGUGUGACCUUAGUCUAAAUACGUAACAUUUCUUUUUUUUCUUUUUGGAGACAGGGUCUCCCUCUGUCACCCAGGUUAGAGUGCAGUGGCGAUCACAGCUCACUGUAGCCUCAAACUACUCUUGUACCCAAAUGAUCCUUCGGCCUCAGCCUCCUGAGGAGCUGGGACUAUAGGCAUGCUCCACCAUGCCUGGACUUAAUGAUGUAAUAUUUCUGUCCCUCAGUUUCUUCAAUUGUAAAAUGGGGAUAAUAAUAAUCCCUGUUUAUGAGGUUGUUGUGAGGAUUAAAAUAAGUGACUUGAUAAGGUACCUUUUCUGUAGAGUGUAAAUGCCAAGAUGGUGCCGCCAGAGAUGAACUAGCCAAGAAUACCUAUUUAUGUUGCAGUAUCGCCAAAGAUAAUAAUCACUAUUGUGGAACAUGAAGGAUAUAUUUUAAGGCUUUCUCCACAUUAGACUUUCUAGGUUCAUUUUCCCACCCUUCUGAAAUCUGACUCGAUUUUCCAGUUGACCACAGUCUGAAGAGAGCCAGUUGGCGUGAGGUUCUGUGACCUACACAGAUGGUGGGAGGAGUCAGACGGGAAAUCUCUUAUGUCGACGUGGUCACCACCACUUGCUUCUUGAGGGAGAAGAAUCGGAAAGACCUGGCAAGACAGACUAGCUAGAAGGGCUUUCUGAUUCCAGAACAAUACUAAGUUUCCUGAAGUAAAGUAUUAAAUAAAUAUAAAUAAAUGGUAAGACGUAUAUAAAUGUGGUAUGAAGAGGAAGAAAAUAAUGGAAUGGAGGGAAAUAGACACAAAUAGAAAUUCUAAGGUAUUUCUAAUCUGGGAUAGAAC